CUGCGGGUGCUACCUGCAAGUCGAACGUGAUCCGCCCUUCGGGGUGGUGAAAGUGGCGCACGGGUGAGUAACGCGUGGAUAAUCUGCCCGAGGAUUUGGGAUAACAUCUCGAAAGGGGUGCUAAUACCGAAUAAGCCCACGGGGUCUACGGAUCUUGCGGGAAAAGGGGGGGACCUUCGGGCCUCCUGUCCUUGGAUGAGUCUGCGUACCAUUAGCUAGUUGGUGGGGUAAUGGCCUACCAAGGCGACGAUGGUUAGCUGGUCUGAGAGGAUGAUCAGCCACACUGGAACUGAGACACGGUCCAGACUCCUACGGGAGGCAGCAGUGGGGAAUUUUGCGCAAUGGGGGAAACCCUGACGCAGCAACGCCGCGUGGGUGAUGAAGGCCUUCGGGUCGUAAAGCUCUGUCUGGAGGGAAGAAAUGAUUGGGAGCUAAUACCUCUUGAUCUUGACGGUACCUCUGAAGGAAGCACCGGCUAACUCCGUGCCAGCAGCCGCGGUAAUACGGAGGGUGCAAGCGUUGUUCGGAAUUAUUGGGCGUAAAGCGCGUGUAGGCGGUCUUUUAAGUCUGAUGUGAAAGCCCCGGGCUCAACCUGGGAAGUGCAUUGGAAACUGGGAGGCUUGAGUACGGGAGAGGAGAGUGGAAUUCCUAGUGUAGGAGUGAAAUCCGUAGAUAUUAGGAGGAACACCGGUGGCGAAGGCGGCUCUCUGGACCGAUACUGACGCUGAGACGCGAAAGCGUGGGUAGCAAACAGGAUUAGAUACCCUGGUAGUCCACGCCGUAACGAUGAGUACUAGUGUUGCGGGUAUUGACCCCUGCA
rnacentral:rRNA from 1 species